UGAAGGAGAGUUGAAAAAGGCGAAAUUUGCGCGCGGCUUUUGAGUUUGCUCCACAAGAAAUGCGACGAGUCAGUGGUUGGAAUUUAUCGGUGGCUCACGAAUCACAGGCAAUCAGGUAACAGGUGCAGUUUGCAUCAGUUUUUUUGCUCGUGAAGAUUAAUGAAGAUUUCCAAGUCCACAAGGUUAGUUCCGCACUAUUGCUCCAAAUUUUUUAUUUCGAUCUGCCCAAAAUCGUAAAAAAUGAUAAUUACGUGGAACUCUAGAAGUUGAGCAUUUUGAAUCUGAUUUGUUUAGUUUAGCUAAACACCAUUAAUUGCUGACUAGGAUAGCUGCUUCGGCAGGAGAAAUUUGAAACUUUUAUGAUUGUUACUGAACUGCUUCGAAGUUUUUCUCUAGCUUAUUUGUUAUUACUCAAUGAAGUGAAAGUGCAUUUAA